UGCAUCGGCCAGGAAUCGAACCCGGGCUGCCCGCGUGGCAGGAGAGCAUUCUACCACUGAACCACCGAUGG
rnacentral:tRNA from 1 species